CGUGUUCAGUUCGGCUACCUGCGGGUGCUGCUCAGUGGAGGGUGAUAGAGACUGAGAGAGAGAGAGAGAGUCCUGGAUGGAGAACUACAGCUCACUCUCCCGUAUCCAAGCCUUAUUUCGGAUUUUUUGGCUUCAGAACUGAAGUGAACGGAACGGUGUUGGAAGCGGUGCCGAUAAGAUCGAGAUUAGAAGAAUGUGGUAGGACUGUUGGGACCUCGUAGUGGAGACAAGGGAAAACAUCAAAGUGUGUGAGUGUGAGAGCGUUCCGGCUGUUCUGAAGAGAGGGGGGGUGAACUUCAGGUGCCCACCCCUCCAGGGUGAGCUUGACUUCGUGGCAAUGAUGAGUCGCGAUGUGGCAUGGCUGUCCUGCCUGCAUCUGCUGUGUGGCAUGUCCAGCCUGUGGGCGUAUCCUUUCAGACCCCCAUUGGACCUGGACAUCACUCCCAGAACCACUGUCCUCUCAAACGGGCUGUGGGGGUGUAGGCGCUUCAGUGGCACUGCACUGAACUACAGCACGCUAUUGCUGGAGGAGGAGGCUGGAGUGCUGUAUGUUGGAGCCAGAGGGGCUCUGUAUGCCCUGCAGGCCGAUAAUAUCUCCAACUCCAGUCAGACGAUUGACUGGGAGGCACCAGAAGAUCAGAAGCAGCUCUGCCUUAACAAAGGGAAAGAUAACAAGACAGAGUGUUUUAACCAUAUCCGCUUCCUGCAGAGAUUCAACAGCACCCACUUAUAUACUUGUGGGACUCAUGCAUUCAGCCCACUGUGUGCAUAUAUUGAUGAUAAAGAGUUUAGGAUUUCCUCUGUGUUUGAGGAAGGUCGGGAGAGGUGCCCUUAUGACCCUGCUAAAGGCUACACCGGCCUGCUUAUUGAUGGGCAAAUUUACACAGCGUCUCAGUACGAGUUCUGGAGCUCUCCAGACAUUCGCCGGAACUCGCCGAACCCCACACUGAGGACAGAGGAGGCCCCCACACGCUGGCUUUAUGAGGCUGAUUUUGUGGGCUCUGCGCUGGUGAGAGAGAGUGUGAACAGCUCUGUGGGAGACGACGAUAAGAUCUAUUUCUUUUUCACGGAAAAGAGUCAGGAACACAGUCCGUACUUCAGCCACAGCAGGGUGGCGCGGGUGGGCCGUGUGUGUAAGAGUGACAGAGGAGGUCUUCUGACCCUACAGAAGAAGUGGACGUCCUUCCUGAAGGCCCGGCUGGUGUGCUCUCUGCCUGAUUAUGAGUUCCACUUUAACGUGUUGCGCAGUGUGUUCGUGCUGGAGGGUCUCAGGACUCAGGACACAGUGCUUUAUGGCAUCUUCGGCCUGGAGUGGAAAAACGUCAAAGCUUCAGCCAUCUGCCGCUACUCCAUCACUGAUAUCCAGCAGGCCUUCGACGGGCCCUACAUGGAGAGUCAGGAGGACACCAGUGCCAAAUGGACAGAGUACUCAGGGAAGGUGCCUGAGCCACGGCCCGGCUCGUGCAUCACGGAUCGGCUCAGGGCCAGAGGCAUCAACUUCUCCACUGACCUGCCAGAUGACGUGCUGCACUUUGUCCGCCGCCACCCUCUCAUGGCCAAGCAGAUCCUCCCUGUGGGAGGACGCCCCCUACUGUUUAGGAGGUCUGUGGACUACUCUAAGAUCGCUGUGCACAGAGUGACUGCUCUGGAUGGCCAGACAUACCAUAUGCUCUUCAUUGGAACAGAUGAGGGCUGGCUACAGAGAGCAGUGGAGGUUAAAGGUCAACUCCACAUCAUCGAAGAGCUGCAGCUGUUUGAAGAGCCGCAGCCUGUGGACAGCAUAGUCAUCUCCCAGAAACAGAUGAGCGUGUACGUGGGCUCGCAGUCCGCAGUCGUGCAGCUGCCCCUGUCUACGUGUCACAGGUACUCCUCCUGUUUCGACUGUGUAUUAGCACGGGACCCUUUCUGUGCUUGGGACGGGGAGGAGUGUGUGGAGAUCACCUCACACACUGACAGAUUCAAUCUGACUCAAGACAUCCUGAAUGGGAAUGAGGGCUGUGAGAACUCUGCAGCAGAUGACCUGGUGUUCCAUCGCGUUCGCUCAGUGAUGGCAGGGGAUGACGUGCUGCUGCAGUGUGAGCUCAGCUCCAAUUUGGCCACCCCACAGUGGACGCUGCAUGGGCAGGAGCUGCAGGGAUACGGACUCAACUCCGGCUACCGCAUCGGCACUGAUGGCCUGUUGGUGAUCGAGGCACGGCCAGACCAGAGCGGCGACUACAGCUGCUUCGCUUUGGAGAGCGGCGUCCGUGUCCCUGUGGUGAUCUACACUCUGACUGUCCGUCAUGACCUGCCUCCUGUACCUCCCAUAGAUAUGACCCACCCACCUCACCAGAGUGGUACCAUCCAUCGCACUGCGCAAACAUCCAACAGAAGCAACCUGACCCUGCACCCGGCUCCUGCGCCCCAUCCUCCACAGCUAGAGUUCCUGUCCUUAAGGAACAUGGAGGCCAUGUACCUUUCCCUGAUCACCAUCCUGGGUGGGCUGUGCCUGGUCUUGACCGUAGUCCUGCUGUAUGUUGGUUUCUGUGUGCAGACCAGAAGGGGGAAAUACUCUCUCCGGGCCGCAGCCCAAGCUGAAAGGAAGAGGAGUGGCCACAUGGAGCUGAAGACCAUUUCCAGCCACUGUAAUGGUAAUGUGGACACACAUGAUGGCCUACUGCAGAUUGUUCCUGGAGAAGCACGGGCAUCUCCCAAUAAAGACUUGCCGCCUGCACCCCCGCUGCCUCCACCUCCGCCAAACUCGGAGUCGGAAUACACGAAUGGCCUGUCAGCCACCCUGCCCAGCGUCUUACGCAAAAUGAACGGCAAUAGCUAUGUGUUGCUUAGGCAAAGUGAUGGAGACACCACGUCUCCUCUAUACUACUCUUUCACUGAAGAGCUCAACCGCAUCCUGGAGAAGAGGAAGCACACGCAGCUGUGUAACAAACCGGAUGAGAGCUCAGUAUAAUAGCUUCCAAAACAUUAGAACUCCCCCUGUGGUCGGGUGGUUUUACUGCAAGUGUCUGCAGAAAUGCAAGAGGGCAGUUUGAUUCAUCUAAAAUCUAACUGAAAUGGAAAAGAGGUUGAUUGAUGAAGCUCUUAAACGUUUUUGAACGAUAAGACAAGUGUCCUAUAUUCCUGCCCAAUGGCAUUUUCAAAACUGGUCUAUUGUUGUGAAGCGAACAAUACUCACUGAACUUGAAAAACAUGAAUAGAACAAAAGUUGCGAGUCAUAACUCACACAAUGGAUAAUCUACCUCGAAAGAACUUUGGACACAUCUGGGACGAUAUCAAUGUGUUCCACCGGGUGAGGCAAACUAGGCAUGAUGAGAUCAGAGCAACAGAAGCUUUUGCAUCUACUUCAACAGAGUGGUCUGUGUGGUGAGACCACUGUGUGAAAUACAAAGCCGAAGGCCUAGGCAGCAGGACACAGCCUUGUGGAGUAUUUCUUCUUUUCAGUUAAAAGAACCACUAGCUGAAGUCUGUAUAUUUCCAGAUAAACAUUUGUUCUAGACAUGGCUGCUUUUGAGCAAUACUGCUGAAGUGCAUUCAAUGUCAUAUUGCUUUUGUUGUGAUGUUCUGUUAUUUAUGUCAACACUGAUCACACCAGUGACCUGUCAAUAACCCAAACUAACAAAUGCACUGCACUUAAUGUAGCAGUGAACACUGAAAGAGACUAAUAUUGUGUGAGUCCAGCUUUUAUGGCUAAUGUUUAAGAAAAUGUGAGGAUGACAGUAUUAACUACUGGGAUGCACUUUAGUAGCAAUGAGCAUUUACCAGAAAAUGUGCUGGUUCCGAAAGACAUUGGGAAUGUUAUGGAUCAGAAUGGAAGUCCUGGUUCUGGAUCUUUCACCAAUCAACACCAUCAGUGGACCGAAGACCAUAGUCAAAAGUUCUUUACUAACCACUACAACGAACAUUUUUAACUAUGAACCACCACAUUAAUUUGUUUACAGUGACAUCCAUUCCACAGUAAAGCAAUUGAAACACAAAGUAAAGUGUGACCCUUUCAGCAAUUCAGACCCGGUCUGUGUCUUGUGUGGUUAGCUUAUGGCUGAAUCAGUGUUCAUAGAAACAGACACAGUUCCCUGCUGACUUCAUUGGAGCCCCAGAAAUUCCAGGCUGCCAGUUCAUGACUUCAGAGGAGCAGUGGUCUGAAAAGAGCAGGUUGUUGCAACUCACGUGCCAUUUGAAGUGAAAGGCCAACAAGCCAGUUUCACCUCACCUCAUCUCUGAGAGAAGUUGUGUGUUGUUUUUUUGUUUUUUCACAGCGGACUUUGCUAAAACGUACCAACACAAUGCACCAGAUUUUCUUUGAGUAAUUGUAUAAAGAGUUGAUGAGCUGAUAUAUACAGUACUGUGCAAAAGUAAGAGACCACCUUUCAUGUAUUUAAUUUCAUUUCCACAUGGCCAUUAAGUACAAGCUAUUUUUAAGUUUCUGGAAGAAAAGCAGGAAACACACACUCCUAAUAAAAAGAUGAUUCUUCAAGGGUUGUUUAGUAAAGACAGUGGUUUUAUAAAGCACUAAAAAGGUGCUGCUACUGGUGUGACAUCAAGCUUAUAACAACAGAAGAACCCUUUUUGAUAUAUAGCCUAUUUGGUAUAUUUGCUAUAUAUAGAACCAUUUUCAAAAAGGUUCUAAGUAGAACCAUAUACAACACAUUCUACAUCAAUGUAAUGAACCUUUUCAGCAGGCAAAUGGUUCUUUGAGUCUUCAUGGUUCUAUAUAGAACCAUUGUCUUUACUAAGGACCCUAGAAGAACCUUCUUUUUUAAGAGUGUAUAUUUCAAAGAAAAGCUUUAAAACUAAACAUAAUAUCAUUUUUUACAAUAUUUAAAAAAAUGUAAUGUGUCAGUCCUUUUACAGCUUCUACUCUUUUUAAGAAACUUGCUUUCACUUUUUCAAAGAAAUCUGCAGGGAUAUUGUUCACUAUUAGAAGUUAGUUGCAUUUUCUGCGUCUCAAUCUCAGUUAAAUAUUGAGACUUAUCCAUGCAUGAAACCUUAUUUCACACCUCAGAUGUCCAGUUUCUAAUUUCCAGAUCAAAUUGUCAUCUUUUUGUCCGUUUCCUUUUCUCAGUGAGGGCUUCUUGAUAGCUACACAUCCUUUCAGACUGAUAGCAUUGAGUUGCGUUCUCACAGUGGAAGGAUGGACAUAAACACCUGUUGAUUUUUUUUAGGUCUGAAGCAAGAGUGGAGCUUGAUUUUCUACUGUCUAUUGGAAAUGAAAGCUUUAAAUGCUGUUUAUCUGAUGGUGACAGAUUUUAUUGGUCUGCCAGGUCUGGCAGGGUUGUUAGGGGUUCCAUUUUCUCUGUAUCUUUUAAUAAUUUUUUGAACUCCAGUUUUGGAAUUUCCUGUUUUUUCACUUUUUUCCUGUAGACUCUCUAUAAGUACCUGUCACUUUCAGCUUAGUAAACAGAGCAGAAGCCAAAGAUGUAAUAUUGUAUGUUUAAGGAAAUGUGUCCAGAACAGGUUGUUCUGCCUGUUGAGUAUUUCAUAGGCAGGCUGAAUCAAUUAUCCUGUUUCCUCCUCAUCUGCUGCAGGGAAAGAUUCGAGCUCUCUUUACAUCUGCCUGAACAUUCACUCACUCCACCGCAUAGAUUUGUUUUGUCAGCAUGACAAUGUGUGCUGUAUUGCAUAGAGGCUCCAGCCAGUCCUCAGGACUCCCAACCGAUCUAUGUUUUGUUGCAGCACUAUUAUUCCUGUAAUGGAAGUCUUAGAAGUUGGUUGCAAUUUCUGCUUCUCCUGAUCCAAAUAAUCCCAAAAACAAAUUUAUACUCAUUGGUAAACCCUAAAACCCUACUCCACUCCAUCUCAGGUUUCAGUGUGUUUCAGAUGCUAGCUUUCUUCUUUUUUUCUUUUUCUCAGCAUAGUCCAGCUUGACCAGCUAAACCAGCACAAGACCAGCACAAACCAGCAUAAAACAGCUCUGUGCUGUUUUUUUUUUUCAGUAAGGGCUUCUUGACAGCUACACAUCCUUCCAGACUCAUAUGAGUUGUCUUCUCACAGUGGAAGGAUGGACAGAAACAUCUGUAUAUUUUUUCAGAUCUGAAGCAAGAGUGGAGCUUGAUUUUCUCCUCUCUCUCAAAUAUGAAAGCUUUAAAGUUUUGGUGACAGUUUUUUGGUCUGCCAGGUUUUGCAGGGUUGUUAAGAGUCCAAUUUUCUCUGUAUCUUGUAAUAUGGAUUAAUUUAUAUCUCAUCUCCUCAGAAAAAUAUCCUUUAAGCAUUUUAGAUGCACAUCAGUAAGACAUUUGGGCAGUUAAGGUGUCUUUGGGUAGUUGCUUGUGUGAAUGUUAGUGAACGAAUGUUAGGGAACAUAAUGUCAGUAGGAGCUUUGGGAACAGCUUUUAUUGGGAGGAUAUAGUAUGUUGGUUUUAAGAUUGGAAGGAUAGAAGAGUUAAAGUGGCAACAGAGGUCAAAAGUGAAGAGUGGACAAAUUAAAUACUGAUAGAUUUGAUUUUGUACUUUGUGUAAUUUUCUGUUCAAAGUAUGUGUACUGCUUCUUUCUAACACACAAAAAUCAAUAACUUGCACAUUAUGCUUGUUUUGACUUAACAUUAAGUAAAAGAACAUGUGGUCUUUGACUUUUGCACACAGUACUGUAUGCCUGCAGAAGUUGCCAGAGAAGUUCUCAAUUGUUUUGCCUGAGGAAACAAAUAUAAUGUUCUAUUUUACCAACUCUGAACCUUUACAGUGGGUCUCAGACAGUGGGCCAGUAUUUAUUUCAGAUUAUUGUGAAGUCUUGAUCUUAAUAUGUAUUUUAUUAUGUCAUUUUUGUUCAACUGGUGAUGCAUGUGUAAGAAUUUUGUCAUUUUUUUAGUUCUGUAACAACAAAUAUAAAUCUGACAUAAAAUGCUGCUUUCAUUUCCAGUGCUAAUAACUUAGAUCUCCGCUGUCUCCGAGUAGAGAAACUCCCAGCUGCAAAAGCGAGGCUUUCAUAAAGUGCAAAGCGUACAUAUUACAUUCAGAAAAUACUCUCUGAGCUCUUGUAAUAAACAGACUGCAUUUCAGGGUCACUUUA